UCUUAACUUUUUAGUUUCGAAUCAUUUUUUGUCACUGAAAACUCUGCUGACUAGAAUCUCUAGCAAAUAGCAAUCAGGUUCUGUUUUUCACUUUCCGGGUAUUGGAAUGACAUAAAAUUUUAAAUCUAACCUCAUAAAAAUAAUUUCAACAUAUUUUCAAAUUUUCAUAAUUUUCUGACACUGUGAAUUUUCAGCUGAAAAAUAAACCCCAAUUCUUCCAGUAA
rnacentral:lncRNA from 1 species